CGCAUUCACUACUGUAAGUCGCUCUGGAAAAGAGUGUCUGCUAAAUUACUAAAA
rfam:Salmo salar isolate Sally breed double haploid chromosome ssa06, whole genome shotgun sequence.